CCGUGAGCAACGAGACGCAACUAGUGAUAUGAAGUAAAGAAGAUAAACCAGCUUGCUGGUGGAUUAGUGGCGAACGAGGUGAGUAACACGUGGGUGAUCUGCCCCAAACUUUGGGAUAAGCCUGGGAAACUGGGUCUAAUACCGAAUAUUACCUGCUCCUUGCAUGGGAGGUGGGUGGAAAGCUCCGGCGGUUUGGGAUGUGGCCCGCGGCCUAUCAGCUUGUUGGUGGGGUAAUGGCCUACCAAGGCGACGACGGGUAGCCGGCCUGAGAGGGCGACCGGCCACACUGGGACUGAGACACGGCCCAGACUCCUACGGGAGGCAGCAGUGGGGAAUAUUGCACAAUGGGCGCAAGCCUGAUGCAGCGACGCCGCGUGAGGGAUGACGGCCUUCGGGUUGUAAACCUCUUUCACCAGGGACGAAGCGAAAGUGACGGUACCUGGAGAAGAAGCACCGGCCAACUACGUGCCAGCAGCCGCGGUAAUACGUAGGGUGCGAGCGUUGUCCGGAAUUACUGGGCGUAAAGAGUUCGUAGGCGGUUUGUCGCGUCGUUCGUGAAAACUUGGGGCUUAACUCCCAAGCGUGCGGGCGAUACGGGCAGACUUGAGUACUACAGGGGAGACUGGAAUUCCUGGUGUAGCGGUGAAAUGCGCAGAUAUCAGGAGGAACACCGGUGGCGAAGGCGGGUCUCUGGGUAGUAACUGACGCUGAGGAACGAAAGCGUGGGUAGCGAACAGGAUUAGAUACCCUGGUAGUCCACGCUGUAAACGGUGGGUACUAGGUGUGGGUUCCUUUUCACGGGAUCCGUGCGCGUAGCUAACGCAUUAAGUACCCCGCCUGGGGAGUACGGCCGCAAGGCUAAAACUCAAAGGAAUUGACGGGGUGCCCGCACAAGCGGCGGAGCAUGUGGAUUAAUUCGAUGCAACGCGAAGAACCUUACCUGGGUUUGACGAUAUACCGGAAAGCUGUAGAGAUAUGGCCCCCCUUGUGGUCGGUAUACAGGUGGUGCAUGGCUGUCGUCAGCUCGUGUCGUGAGAUGUUGGGUUAAGUCCCGCAACGAGCGCAACCCUUAUCUUAUGUUGCCAGCGCGUAAUGGCGGGGACUCGUGAGAGACUGCCGGGGUCAACUCGGAGGAAGGUGGGGAUGACGUCAAGUCAUCAUGCCCCUUAUGUCCAGGGCUUCACACAUGCUACAAUGGCCGGUACAGAGGGCUGCGAUACCGUGAGGUGGAGCGAAUCCCUUAAAGCCGGUCUCAGUUCGGAUCGGGGUCUGCAACUCGACCCCGUGAAGUCGGAGUCGCUAGUAAUCGCAGAUCAGCAACGCUGCGGUGAAUACGUUCCCGGGCCUUGUACACACCGCCCGUCACGUCAUGAAAGUUGGUAACACCCGAAGCCGGUGGUCUCAACCUCUUUUUGGUUUGUUUUGUUUACUGUUUUGUGACGUCGUC
rnacentral:rRNA from 1 species